CAGAAGCAUCUAAGGUCAAAAGGGCAGAACUUCCUGUCUGAAUUUUAAAGCCUCUGUCGCCUUGAUUUUGUUCCUGGCUCAGU
rnacentral:lncRNA from 12 species